rnacentral:rRNA from 1 species
CGGUGGAGCAUGUGGUUUAAUUCGAAGACAACGACGAAGAACCUUACCAGGCCUUGACAUGCAGAGAACUUUCCAGAGAUGGAUUGGUGCCUUCGGGAACUCUGACACAGGUGCUGCAUGGCUGUCGUCAGCUCGUGUCGUGAGGUGUCGGGUUAAGUCCCAUAACGAGCGCAACCCUACCCUUUAGUUGCCAUCAGGUAAUGCUGGGGACUCUAAAGGAACUGCCUACGCAAGUAGUGAGGAAGGCGGGGAUGACGUCAAAUCAGCACGGCCCUUACGUCCAGGGCUACACACGUGCUACAAUGGCCGAUACAGAGGGCAGCUACCUGGUGACAGGAUGCAAAUCUCCAAAGUCGGUCUCAGUUCGGAUCGGAGUCUGCAACCCGACUCCGUGAAGUUGGAUUCGCUAGUAAUCGCGCAUCAGCCAUGGCGCGGUGAAUACGUUCCCGGGCCUU